ACUGACCUUGAAUGUUGAAGGGCCGCGGUAUUUUGACCGUGCAAAGGUAGCAUAGUCAUUAGUUCUUUAAUUGUGAYCUGGUAUGAAUGGCYWSACGAGGCAUGAGCUGUCUUAAUUUUGAAUUGUUUAUUGAAUUUGGUCUUUGAGUUAAAAUUCUUAGAUGUUUUUAUGGGACGAGAAGACCCUAUAGAGUUUUACAUUUAUUAUGGUCUCUUUCUGUUUGUGAGGGUUCACUAGGGCUGUUUAAUAUGUUUUGUUGGGGUGAUGGGAGGGAUAUUGUUUAACCCCUCCUUUAUGUUGUUAUAUUUAUUAAUAUUUGCUUGAUCCAUG
rnacentral:rRNA from 1 species